UGUCACUUGUCACUCAGUGUCAUUGCGGCCUUUUAAAGUUUAAACCACCAUCUUCCGUACGAGUAAAUGUAAUUGCAAUUACAUGUAGUGCUAGAAAAACUAUCAGUUUAAUCUUUUGUGUAUUGUGAUUUUAGCAAGAACUUCAGGGACGCCCAUUGUGUUUGUCCCAGAAAUAUAUUACAUGGAUGACUGGGUUUAUACUAAAUUAUUCCACAAAGCGUCCUAGGGAAGUUGGAAGCCAUUGCGUCAAUGGAGAAUGGAAGACGGUGGAGCCUCAAGUAUUCUGCUCCGUGGGCCAGAAAUACCCUUGAAGCAACUCGUAAGGUAACCAGUUGCAAGCACAAAUAGCUUGGCUACUACAUUAUCGUCCCAAAAACUGGAGAAAUACUAAACGAGACGAACUUGAGGUCAAGUUUUGCAAAGGUGGUCGAAUGUGGUGUCAAAUUGAAACAUAGGCCUAGUAGGUAGGCUAGUAGACGUUUCGAGAUGAAGUACCUAGUACUAGGUACCACGUUUUUCUCGGCAAGAGAUGAUUAGCGGGGCCAGGGAAUAAGGGGCCUUUGGAGAAAGCAAUUGAGGGGGAACCAGAACUGACAGCUGAUUUCAGAGGGGUGCAUACAUUGAAGAAGUGUUUCUGGUUGGUAGCUCCAAUAUAUUCAUAUCAUCAACAUCAAAUCUUCCAACGCUGUACAACGCAUAGGUAAGACCCCUUGUGAUUCCACCACCCGGGUCUUUCCUGUGAUUUAUCUGCCACAGAUCUCCAUUCGUCGCCAGCAUCUCUUCCCAUGGUUCUCAUACAGAUUCAAGACUUUAGGCUAUAGCUGUACUAAAUGGCAACUUGCUGCUUCAUUCGCGGUGAUCCAGUCCAGUACUCUACUUCCUGGUCCCUUUAAGGUGCGUCUUUACGGUCGAACAGUGUCAGACGGACAAACAAUGUUACCAAUCAACAAUUGUCUGCCGGUCUGUGCCUUGUGAGCAGAGUAAAAACAGCAGUGUGCAACCUCAACUGGUACCUCUGUUUGUUGCCAGAUCUACUUCCAUUGUUUCAACGCUCAUGACGUCAUCCUGCUUCGCCUAUGAUAUGGUAACAAUGUUUGUCCGUCGGACAUUGUUCGACCGUGUGGACGCACCAUUAGAGCUAGUUUCCUACUCCUUUGAUUCCUAGUAACUUCAUGGCUUCUUCAGGCCAGUUUCUCUCCUGGUGUCAGCAACACAACACCCUUCCCCCCAAAAUGCUACUCAGGUUCAAAACAGUACACAUUACAUGCUUGGAAAACAUGACCCUACUAUCAAAGAGGAUGGAAGAUUCCCUGAGAUGGAGUAACAAACACACUUCUCUCAUGCACCAAGCUCAGUAACAACCUUUGUCUGGAACUGAUGCAUUUCUACCCAAUGGAAGGAAGAAAAGGAAAACUUCU